rnacentral:lncRNA from 1 species
AGAAGGGAAAAGAUUUGCGCCAGUAGGGUGUUACUUCCUACACCACUAGUGGUCAAUAUUAGUAUAAGUUUUACGCUCUUUAGACUCGCCCUGAUCAAGAAAAUUCCCUUGGUAUAGAUUCGGGUACGUUAUAGGUCCUUCAUACUUAUGAUAUGCAUUGUUAGACCUCUUUCUCUCAUUUUAGCUUAUGAUUUUCAGCAUGAGUUAUUCAGUCAUGAAUUAGUCUGUGGAUGCCCUG